UACGGGGGGGGUAAGCGUUGUUCGGAAUUACUGGGCGUAAAGGGCUCGUAGGCGGCCAACUAAGUCAUACGUGAAAUCCCUCAGCUUAACUGGGGAACUGCGUGUGAUACUGGAUGGCUUGGAUUUGGGAGAGGGAUGCGGAAUUCCAGGUGUAGCGGUGAAAUGCGUAGAUAUUGGGAAGAACACCGGUGGCGAAGGCGGCGCUCUGGACCGAGACUGACGCUGAGGCGCGAAAGCGUGGGGAGCAAACAGG
rnacentral:rRNA from 1 species